GAAAAACUUAAGAUCUCACCAAAUCUGAGUUUUCUUUUAAGAAUCAACAAAUGUACCCUCUGCUCUUCAUGAACAUAUCCUUAUUCACCGACCUGAAAUAACCUCUCGGUGAUGCUAAAAUAGGUCAACUUGUACAACACAUUCCUUAGAAAUAUUUGUUUAAAAACCUUGAUCUGGCUCUGGAUUUCUUUUGAAUGAAUCAUAAGAGUCUGGAUGAUAAAAAGAAUUAUGUUUAGAAAAAUGUAUUAGAAACAGAAACAUUGGAUAAAAAUAUAUAGAAAUUUCUUUCGGUAGAAAUCUAUGUAUUUUUGAACCCUUCUUCAGAAGACUGUUCCCUUGAAAAAAGAUUCUGGUUGAGUAACAACCUGAUAAAGGAGGAAGUGACCUUGACAAUCAUGCCUACCAGUUAAGAGGGGAAAUGUUUGAAAGUGGAAAUCUACAAGUGGUUCUUUAUAUAAAAACCAUUAACAAUAGGUGGAAUUCUCUCGAGGUCAGAAUGCAUACUGUGACGUUUAAGAAUCCACUUUAUGCUGUUUCAGAACUGCAAACUAAUGGAUGGGCCAGGAAUGCUCCCAAGAAAUGAUGAAUAAUGUCAACGCGAAGAUUUUAAUCAUUAACUUCAGAGCAACAUCAGACUCACGUCCAGGUUCAGGAGCAAGUACAGAAGGACGGUGGUCAGAAAGAUGACAUAUUUGCUAACUGACUGGAAGCUUCGAGAUAGUGAAGGAAAAAGGUGGACUAGGUAUCCAGAGAAGCCCUCCUGGUUGCAGAGCAACUCAACUGCAAGCACAAUAUUUGAAAAUAUCUUUGAAGUACAUGACUGGACUGGCAAAAUAGUAGAUGAAAUCCUCAGAGAUCUGACAUAGGAAAAAAGCAUGACUCCAAAUAGGUAAGAAAAUGAGGAAGUUAGCAUCUGCCAACUCCUAAUGGCCAAGAGCAGGGGGUCAGCAAACUAUAGACCAUGGGCUACAUCUAGCC
rnacentral:lncRNA from 1 species